GAUCAGUCUGGAUGGUCCCGGUGGCCUGAUAAAAUCACAGGAUCCUUCACUGUGGAAGAGGGAGGCAGAAGAGGAGUCGGAGGAAGAUGUGUCCGUGGAGGAAGGAAUAUCACAAGCAGCUUUAAGAGAUGCGUGCAAAC
rnacentral:lncRNA from 1 species